rnacentral:rRNA from 1 species
GACGAACGCUGGCGGCGUGCCUAAUACAUGCAAGUAGAACGCUGAAGGAGGAGCUUGCUUCUCUGGAUGAGUUGCGAACGGGUGAGUAACGCGUAGGUAACCUGCCUGGUAGCGGGGGAUAACUAUUGGAAACGAUAGCUAAUACCGCAUAAGAGUAGAUGUUGCAUGACAUUUGCUUAAAAGGUGCAAUUGCAUCACUACCAGAUGGACCUGCGUUGUAUUAGCUAGUUGGUGGGGUAACGGCUCACCAAGGCGACGAUACAUAGCCGACCUGAGAGGGGGCUCGGCCACACUGGGACUGAGACACGGCCCAGACUCCUACGGGAGGCAGCAGUAGGGAAUCUUCGGCAAUAGCCGGAAGUCUGACCGAGCAACGCCGCGUGAGUGAAGAAGGUUUUCGGAUCGUAAAGCUCUGUUGUAAGAGAAGAACGAGUGUGAGAGUGGAAAGUUCACACUGUGACGGUAUCUUACCAGAAAGGGACGGCUAACUACGUG